rnacentral:snoRNA from 1 species
UUUCUUUAUGAUGAAUUUUGUCAAUUACUAUUUUUCUGGUACCUCUUAUGUCAGAGACUCUCACGAGUCUCGAUGAUCUUAGCGGACUUCUGAUC